GAGCACCAUCAUAGAGGUAGGGGGAGGCAGGAUAAUAUAGGGGUUUCCAAAGAGGAGACCUGGAAAGGGGAAAACAUUUGAAAUGUAAAUAAAGAAAAUAUCCAACAAAAUAGUUAUGGAUUGAAAAAUAUGAAAACAAAUACUGAAAAUAGAAUUCAUAAAGCUUAACCUUAAUAGUGCAAGACAUCUCUCAAAAGGAAAGAACAUGGAAAUUAAUCUGUGUUCUGAAAAAAUGCAUUAUUAAUGAGGUGACUAGAGAGAUGAACACUUCCAAAAUGAGAAAAACAGAUGAGGAAAGAACACAGAAGAGGAAAAACAUGAGAGGAAAGGAAACAAUGCUUUAGAAUGUGUGUGACAGGGAGAAGAGUAUACCUGUAGAGCAUGGCCUUUCAUGACCACUUUCUGAGGGUUUUAGCUUAAAACUCUAAAGGGUUGUGUAAUGUGGACCACUGAAGUCAUAUGAUGGAUUGCAUGCUCUAUGAUAUACUGCAGUGUAUACAUUGACCUUUCAAAGGCUUAAAGACCUUUUAAAUUAAAAGUGACAUGUACUAGAUAGACUGGUAGUAAAGUAUUUAUACCUCCUUCUUCAAACUUUAUCAGCCUCAGGUGAUGGAUUGGAGCUUUGGUUUGCAUUACUAAAUUGUCCCCUUGACAUUAUGUGCUUAAGAACCUAAGGACAGGAGAAGGGAAUGUGGCAAAAUGAAAACUGGAGAAAUCAUGAAUUAAAAUGUAGAUUUUGGUGCCUUUUGCCAUAGAUGCUGAUUUUUCUAGGGGCCUGAAUUUGGGAUAACAUCUCCAGACACGUAAGUCUCCUAAAAUUGAUCACUAAGGCUAUGCAUUAGUAGCUAAGCUCCACCCCCAAGUUCAUAUUCACACAGGUAGAAUUCUAAGUCAUGCAUUCUAGACAACCAGUUCUUCAAGUAUGUAUUUCAAAUACUCUGCUUCAGGUGAUUGUGGGCUCUAGAUAUAUGUAUUGGAGGUAUUUUCUCUCUAUUUCACUUUCUCUGAACUUGGUCAUUAACUAAUUUUUGAGACAGUAGUCCUAAAUGCACAUUUACCAGAUUGGACCAACCAUCAUUUAUUUCAUCCUGUUUAUGAAGCUUCUCUCCUGACCUGUUCUGAGAGGCUAAAAUACUGAUUAUCUUUAUGGUGUUCACUGUGUAUAAUGACCUGGCUCAUAUAAGCAGCCACAGGUAAUUAGUCAUGAUUGUGUAAUUAAUCUCCCAAAAGAGAUGUGAACUUUUUAGCACACACAACUUUAGAUAUAAUAAGAAGCAUAAUGAUAUUACUUGAGGCGAACAAGUGUGUAAUGCAGAGAAAUAUUUAAAGACUAAAACUUGCCCAUACAAUAAGCUAUUACUUUUUACUUGUUAACCCAUAUUUUAAUUUGUAUGUGUAUAUGUGAAGGAGAGAGACAAAGAGACAGAG
rnacentral:lncRNA from 1 species